rnacentral:rRNA from 1 species
ACUCCUACGGGAGGCAGCAGUGGGGAAUUUUGGACAAUGGGGGCAACCCUGAUCCAGCAAUGCCGCGUGUGUGAAGAAGGCCUUCGGGUUGUAAAGCACUUUUGGCGGGAACGAAACUGCGCUUGCUAAUACCAGGCGCGACUGACGGUACCCGCAGAAUAAGCACCGGCUAACUACGUGCCAGCAGCCGCGGUAAGACGUAGGGUGCAAGCGUUAAUCGGAAUUACUGGGCGUAAAGCGUGCGCAGGCGGUUCUGUAAGACAGGUGUGAAAUCCCCGGGCUCAACCUGGGAACUGCACUUGUGACUGCAGAGCUAGAGUGUGUCAGAGGGAGGUGGAAUUCCGCGUGUAGCAGUGAAAUGCGUAGAGAUGCGGAGGAACACCGAUGGCGAAGGCAGCCUCCUGGGAUAACACUGACGCUCAUGCACGAAAGCGUGGGGAGCAAACAGGAUUAGAUACCCUGGUAGUCCACGCCCUAAACGAUGUCAACUAGUUGUCGGGGAUUCGUUUCCUGGUAACGCAG